rnacentral:rRNA from 1 species
UACAGAGGUCUCAAGCGUUGUUCGGAUUCAUUGGGCGUAAAGGGUGCGUAGGCGGUGGGGUAAGUCAGGUGUGAAAUCUCGGGGCUCAACUCCGAAACUGCACUUGAUACUGCCCUGCUAGAGUACUGGAGAGGAGAUUGGAAUUUACGGUGUAGCAGUGAAAUGCGUAGAUAUCGUAAGGAAGACCAGUGGCGAAGGCGGCUACCUGGACCGGUUCUGACGCUGAUGCGCGAAAGCGUGGGUAGCAAACAGG